UACGGGGGGGGCAAGCGUUGUUCGGAAUUACUGGGCGUAAAGGGUCUGUAGGUGGCCAACUAAGUCAGACGUGAAAUCCCUCAGCUUAACUGAGGAACUGCGUCUGAGACUGGAUGGCUCGAGUGCAGGAGAGGAACGCGGAAUUCCAGGUGGAGCGGUGAAAUGCGUAGAGAUCUGGAAGAACACCAAAGGCGAAGGCAGCGUCCUGGCAAGUCACUGACGCUCAGGUGCGAAAGCUAGGGGAGCGAACGGG
rnacentral:rRNA from 1 species